CCUACGGGUGGCAGCAGUCGAGAAUCAUUCACAAUGGGGGAAACCCUGAUGGUGCGACACCGCGUGGGGGAAUGAAGGUCUUCGGAUUGUAAACCCCUGUCAUGUGGGAGCAAAUUAAAAAGUUAGUACCACAAGAGGAAGAGACGGCUAACUCUGUGCCAGCAGCGGCGGUAAUACGGAGGUCUCAAGCGUUGUUCAGAAUGACUGGGCGUAAAGCGUGCGUAGGCGGUUUCGUAAGUCGUGGGUGAAAGGCGCGGGCUCAACCCGCGGACGGCACAGGAUACUGCGGGACUUGAGUAAAGGAGAGGGAACCGGAAUUCUCGGUGUAGCAGUGAAAUGCGUAGAUA
rnacentral:rRNA from 1 species